rnacentral:lncRNA from 1 species
GUUUACUCACUGGGAUUAUAAAAUCUCACCCCUUCUUCCUAUACAUUUUUCAGGCUCAGGACAGUUUGUAGAUAGUCGAGUAGGACGAGAACUAAGCUCGAAAUUACAUUAUAGAAAGUAAGAGUUCACAGUCUUACAUCCUCUUGGUCAAUUGGAGCCCACGUGUCAUUGCAGAUCAAAACUUAUAUUUUGGUUAUCUAUAUUUCUAUUUAUACAAUGUUUAC